UGCCAGCCGCCGCGGUAAUACGGAGAGUGCAAGCGUUGUUCGGAAUCAUUGGGCGUAAAGGGCGUGUAGGCGGCCUGUUAAGUUUGGUGUGAAAGCCCUCGGCUCAACCGAGGAUGUGCACUGGAUACUGGCAGGCUUGAGUACGGGAGAGGGAAGCGGAAUUCCAGGUGUAGAGGUGAAAUUCGUAGAUAUCUGGAGGAACACCUGUGGCGAAGGCGGCUUCCUGGUCCGAUACUGACGCUGAGGCGCGAAGGCGUGGGUAGCGAACGGGAUUAGAUA
rnacentral:rRNA from 1 species